UACGAGGGGGGCAAGCGUUGUUCGGAAUUAUUGGGCGUAAAGGGUGCGUAGGCGGUUUUGUAAGUCUUGUGUGAAAUCUUCAGGCUCAACUUGAAGACUGCACGAGAAACUGCAGGGCUUGAGUGUGGGAGAGGUGAGUGGAAUUCCUGGUGUAGCGGUGAAAUGUGUAGAUAUCAGGAGGAACACCAAUUGCGAAGGCAGCUCGCUACACAUAUAUUGACUCUGAGGCACGAAAGCGUGGGGAUCAAACAGG
rnacentral:rRNA from 1 species